rnacentral:rRNA from 1 species
AGUGAACGCUGGCGGUAGGCCUAACACAUGCAAGUCGAACGGCAGCACAGUAAGAGCUUGCUCUUACGGGUGGCGAGUGGCGGACGGGUGAGGAAUACAUCGGAAUCUACUUUUUCGUGGGGGAUAACGUAGGGAAACUUACGCUAAUACCGCAUACGACCUACGGGUGAAAGCAGGGGAUCUUCGGACCUUGCGCGAUUGAAUGAGCCGAUGUCGGAUUAGCUAGUUGGCGGGGUAAAGGCCCACCAAGGCGACGAUCCGUAGCUGGUCUGAGAGGAUGGUCAGCCACACUGGAACUGAGACACGGUCAAGACUCCUACGGGAGGCAGCAGUGGGGAAUAUUAGACAAUGGGCGCAAGCAUGAUCCAGCCAUACCGCGUGGGUGAAGAAGGCGUUCGGGUUGUAAAGCCGUUUUGUUGGGAAAGAAAAGCAGCAGGUUAAGACCCCGCUGUUCUGACGGUACCCAAAGAAUAAGCACCGGCUAACUACGUG